rnacentral:rRNA from 1 species
UUGCUGGGGUGGAUGAGUGGCGAACGGGUGAGUAACACGUGAGUAACCUGCCCCUGACUUCGGGAUAAGCCCGGGAAACUGGGUCUAAUACCGGAUACGACCUGUCCUCGCAUGAGGGUGGGUGGAAAGUUUUUUCGGUUGGGGAUGGGCUCGCGGCCUAUCAGUUUGUUGGUGAGGUAAUGGCUCACCAAGACGACGACGGGUAGCCGGCCUGAGAGGGCGACCGGCCACACUGGGACUGAGACACGGCCCAGACUCCUACGGGAGGCAGCAGUGGGGAAUAUUGCACAAUGGGGGAAACCCUGAUGCAGCGACGCAGCGUGCGGGAUGACGGCCUUCGGGUUGUAAACCGCUUUCAGCAGGGAAGAAGCGAAAGUGACGGUACCUGCAGAAGAAGUACCGGCUAACUACGUGCCAGCAGCCGCGGUAAUACGUAGGGUACGAGCGUUGUCCGGAAUUAUUGGGCGUAAAGAGCUCGUAGGUGGUUGGUCACGUCUGCUGUGGAAACGCAACGCUUAACGUUGCGCGUGCAGUGGGUACGGGCUGACUAGAGUGCAGUAGGGGAGUCUGGAAUUCCUGGUGUAGCGGUGAAAUGCGCAGAUAUCAGGAGGAACACCGGUGGCGAAGGCGGGACUCUGGGCUGUAACUGACACUGAGGAGCGAAAGCAUGGGGAGCGAACAGGAUUAGAUACCCUGGUAGUCCAUGCCGUAAACGUUGGGCACUAGGUGU